rnacentral:rRNA from 1 species
CUUUGUACACACCGCCCGUCACGGCAUGGGAGUUGGUUUUACCCGAAGACGGUGCGCUAACCGCAAGGAGGCAGCCGGCCACGGUAGGAUCAGCAACUGGGCCG